ACACAUGCAGUCGAGCGGUAACACAGGGAGCUUGCUCCUGGGUGACGAGCGGCGGACGGGUGAGUAAUGUCUGGGAAACUGCCUGAUGGAGGGGGAUAACUACUGGAAACGGUAGCUAAUACCGCAUAACGUCGCAAGACCAAAGAGGGGGACCUUCGGGCCUCUUGCCAUCAGAUGUGCCCAGAUGGGAUUAGCUAGUAGGUGGGGUAACGGCUCACCUAGGCGACGAUCCCUAGCUGGUCUGAGAGGAUGACCAGCCACACUGGAACUGAGACACGGUCCAGACUCCUACGGGAGGCAGCAGUGGGGAAUAUUGCACAAUGGGCGCAAGCCUGAUGCAGCCAUGCCGCGUGUAUGAAGAAGGCCUUCGGGUUGUAAAGUACUUUCAGCGGGGAGGAAGGCGAUAAGGUUAAUAACCUUGUCGAUUGACGUUACCCGCAGAAGAAGCACCGGCUAACUCCGUGCCAGCAGCCGCGGUAAUACGGAGGGUGCAAGCGUUAAUCGGAAUUACUGGGCGUAAAGCGCACGCAGGCGGUCUGUCAAGUCGGAUGUGAAAUCCCCGGGCUCAACCUGGGAACUGCAUUCGAAACUGGCAGGCUAGAGUCUUGUAGAGGGGGGUAGAAUUCCAGGUGUAGCGGUGAAAUGCGUAGAGAUCUGGAGGAAUACCGGUGGCGAA
rnacentral:rRNA from 1 species